rnacentral:tmRNA from 1 species
GGGGGUGUUUGGUUUUGACAGCAUAGAUCUUUGAGAGUGUAAGCAUGCCGGGCGUUGCGUAAUUAGCCCGAUAAUCUGAAUACGAAAAAUUCAAAUGGCAAUACUCAGUAUGCCAUGGCUGCCUAAUCAGUGAUUAGAUAGUCAUUAGGGCCGCUUGAGCAGGUUGUUCUGUUACCAUGCUCCGCCGCCGACUCAACAAACAAAACAGGAUGCUGUAACCGAAGGCUGUGACGGUUACUUAAGAACAUACAGCUAAGGAGAUAAUCGGUCGUUCGGUUUUCCAGUUAUUUCCCGACACAAUAAACCGGAAUAAGCAUGUAGAAAGCUUUUGACGAAUAUGUUUGGACACCGGUUCGACUCCGGUCACCUCCACAA